rnacentral:tRNA from 1 species
GCCUGAAUAGCUCAGUGGUAGAGCAACCGCAUCGUAAGCGGAAUGUCCCGGGUUCGAAUCCCGGUUCAGGCUCCA